AUUGAACGCUAGCGGGAUGCCUUACACAUGCAAGUCGAACGGCAGCACGGACUUCGGUCUGGUGGCGAGUGGCGAACGGGUGAGUAAUGUAUCGGAACGUGCCUAGUAGCGGGGGAUAACUACGCGAAAGCGUAGCUAAUACCGCAUACGCCCUACGGGGGAAAGCAGGGGAUCGUAAGACCUUGCACUAUUAGAGCGGCCGAUAUCGGAUUAGCUAGUUGGUGGGGUAACGGCUCACCAAGGCGACGAUCCGUAGCUGGUUUGAGAGGACGACCAGCCACACUGGGACUGAGACACGGCCCAGACUCCUACGGGAGGCAGCAGUGGGGAAUUUUGGACAAUGGGGGAAACCCUGAUCCAGCCAUCCCGCGUGUGCGAUGAAGGCCUUCGGGUUGUAAAGCACUUUUGGCAGGAAAGAAACGUUCCGGGUUAAUACCCCGGGAAACUGACGGUACCUGCAGAAUAAGCACCGGCUAACUACGUGCCAGCAGCCGCGGUAAUACGUAGGGUGCAAGCGUUAAUCGGAAUUACUGGGCGUAAAGCGUGCGCAGGCGGUUCGGAAAGAAAGAUGUGAAAUCCCAGAGCUUAACUUUGGAACUGCAUUUUUAACUACCGAGCUAGAGUGUGUCAGAGGGAGGUGGAAUUCCGCGUGUAGCAGUGAAAUGCGUAGAUAUGCGGAGGAACACCGAUGGCGAAGGCAGCCUCCUGGGAUAACACUGACGCUCAUGCACGAA
rnacentral:rRNA from 1 species